rnacentral:rRNA from 1 species
ACGAACGCUGGCGGCGUGCCUAAUACAUGCAAGUCGAACGAAACUUUCUUACACCGAAUGCUUGCAUUCACCGUAAGAAGUUGAGUGGCGGACGGGUGAGUAACACGUGGGUAACCUGCCUAAAAGAAGGGGAUAACACUUGGAAACAGGUGCUAAUACCGUAUAUCUCUAAGGAUCGCAUGAUCCUUAGAUGAAAGAUGGUUCUGCUAUCGCUUUUAGAUGGACCCGCGGCGUAUUAACUAGUUGGUGGGGUAACGGCCUACCAAGGUGAUGAUACGUAGCCGAACUGAGAGGUUGAUCGGCCACAUUGGGACUGAGACACGGCCCAAACUCCUACGGGAGGCAGCAGUAGGGAAUCUUCCACAAUGGACGCAAGUCUGAUGGAGCAACGCCGCGUGAGUGAAGAAGGUCUUCGGAUCGUAAAACUCUGUUGUUAGAGAAGAACACGAGUGAGAGUAACUGUUCAUUCGAUGACGGUAUCUAACCAGCAAGUCACGGCUAACUACGUGCCAGCAGCCGCGGUAAUACGUAGGUGGCAAGCGUUGUCCGGAUUUAUUGGGCGUAAAGGGAACGCAGGCGGUCUUUUAAGUCUGAUGUGAAAGCCUUCGGCUUAACCGGAGUAGUGCAUUGGAAACUGGAAGACUUGAGUGCAGAAGAGGAGAGUGGAACUCCAUGUGUAGCGGUGAAAUGCGUAGAUAUAUGGAAGAACACCAGUGGCGAAAGCGGCUCUCUGGUCUGUAACUGACGCUGAGGUUCGAAAGCGUGGGUAGCAAACAGGAUUAGAUACCCUGGUAGUCCACGACGUAAACGAUGAAUGCUAGGUGUAGGGGGUAUCGACCCCUUCUGUGCCGCAGUCAACACAAUAAGCAUUCCGCCUGGGGAGUACGACCGCAAGGUUGAAACUCAAAGGAAUUGACGGGGGCCCGCACAAGCGGUGGAGCAUGUGGUUUAAUUCGAAGCAACGCGAAGAACCUUACCAGGUCUUGACAUCCUUUGACCACCUAAGAGAUUAGGCUUUCCCUUCGGGGACAAAGUGACAGGUGGUGCAUGGCUGUCGUCAGCUCGUGUCGUGAGAUGUUGGGUUAAGUCCCGCAACGAGCGCAACCCUUGUUGUCAGUUGCCAGCAUUAAGUUGGGCACUCUGGCGAGACUGCCGGUGACAAACCGGAGGAAGGUGGGGACGACGUCAAGUCAUCAUGCCCCUUAUGACCUGGGCUACACACGUGCUACAAUGGACGGUACAACGAGUCGCGAGACCGCGAGGUUUAGCUAAUCUCUUAAAGCCGUUCUCAGUUCGGAUUGUAGGCUGCAACUCGCCUACAUGAAGUCGGAAUCGCUAGUAAUCGCGAAUCAGCAUGUCGCGGUGAAUACGUUCCCGGGCCUUGUACACACCGCCCGUCACACCAUGAGAGUUUGUAACACCCAAAGCCGGUGGGGUAACCGCAAGGAGCCAGCCGUCUAAGGUGGGACAGAUGAUUGGGGUG